rnacentral:rRNA from 1 species
GACGAACGCUGGCGGCGUGCUUAACACAUGCAAGUCGAACGGAAAGGCCCUGCUUGCAGGGUACUCGAGUGGCGAACGGGUGAGUAACACGUGGGUGAUCUGCCCUGCACUUCGGGAUAAGCUUGGGAAACUGGGUCUAAUACCGGAUAGGACCGCACUUUAGUGUGUGUGGUGGAAAGUUUUUUCGGUGUAGGAUGAGCUCGCGGCCUAUCAGCUUGUUGGUGGGGUAAUGGCCUACCAAGGCGGCGACGGGUAGCCGGCCUGAGAGGGUGUACGGCCACAUUGGGACUGAGAUACGGCCCAGACUCCUACGGGAGGCAGCAGUGGGGAAUAUUGCACAAGGGGCGCAAGCCUGAUGCAGCGACGCCGCGUGGGGGAUGAAGGCCUUCGGGUUGUAAACUCCUUUCGCUAGGGACGAAGCUUUUUGUGACGGUACCUAGAUAAGAAGCACCGGCUAACUACGUG